ACAGCUUUUCCUGGCAAAGUCUUGUUUAGGGUUACACAAACAUUUUUUAAGAAUACCACUCAGAGAUCUGCCCCAAGGCUGGAUAGUCAUGGGUGGC